UAAUAAGUGUUUUAUGGCACUUUUAAAUCCAUAUCCACCUUGUGUGCAAUGUCGGUCGAUCUUCUUUUUUUGAGGAUCGACCAAACAUCAACCUUUAUCUUUUAACUCUUUGUCUGAAAAAUAUUAUGAAUAAACAAUUCAAAAUA
rnacentral:misc_RNA from 1 species